rnacentral:rRNA from 1 species
UACGUAGGGGGCAAGCGUUGUCCGGAAUCACUGGGCGUAAAGCGUGCGCAGACGGUUGCGUAAGUCAGAUGUGAAAGCCCCGGGCUCAACCUGGGAAUUGCAUUUGAGACUGCGUAGCUAGGGUGCGGAAGAGGGAAGCGGAAUUUCCGGUGUAGCGGUGAGAUGCGUAGAUAUCGGAAGGAACACCAGUGGCGAAAGCGGCUUCCUGGUCCAGCACCGACGUUCAGGCACGAAAACGUGGGGAGCAAACAGG